rnacentral:lncRNA from 1 species
UAUUACGCAUCACUUAUAUACAAGGUUCGUUCUAUAUAUUAUUCUUCCUCUAUCCUUAUUGAUGGGGAAGAGAGCAAAUUUUGCAAAUUUGAACUGAUUGGUAUACGAGACAUAAGAAAAAAUAAAUUUUUUAAUUUUCGUAAUCAUCUCUUGGUUCCACAUUAUAGUCUUCCUACCCAAAAAUAACUUUCAAAUAAGCUAUGACGUUAUGAAUUUCAUCAACAAUCUUAACUUUAUUUAAACUCACAAUUGAAUAUACAUAAACUUUGACACUGGAAGCUUCUUAUGAUUUUGAUAAGGAUAAAAACUAUGAUCUUGCUCUAAAAAUAACCUUAAUUGGAUGUUUGACAAACUAUUGAGUUGAUUGGAGGAGUGAAACGCGUCUAUUAGUUCAUUCCAUAAUUCCAAUGAUUUACUGUGUCUGACUUCAGAAGAUGCCCAAUUGGUAUUACACCUUUCGCAAGAUUAAGGAGCGUGUUUCGGGUACAAAGACUGACGGAACUAUAUCUUUUUUGGUUUCCUUCUUUUUAAUCGACCAUGAAAUGUAGAACGGCUGGAUUGGUUAUCCCAUGGGUCGUCUUCAAUGUCCUUAUUCAACAAUGUACCUCCAAAGAUUUCGCAGUGUCUCUUCCACUCCUGCAGCUUACGACAGCAUUAAUCAGAGAGUAGGGAAAAAUCCUUAUAAUGCAAGUCCACUUCGAAUGUCAAGUAAUGUUUAAAUACUGGAAUAUUUUCAUGGAGUCCUCAGAUGUCAUUCAAGCUCGUUUCAAGUCCAUUACUAUAAUAUAUGGUCCAUAGUUUUAAUGCUUUUCCUGAGUCCACAAUAUACUAGCUUUGGAGUUCAAGUCCAGUCGCAAGACUUAUUUAUGUAGUCCAAGUCAAGUCUCGAGUCUUUAAUUGUGAGAUCGUCUUCAAAAUAUGGGUUCAAGUCCCAUUUGAGUCGCAAGUCUCGAGUCCAAGUGCCCACCUUCAGCAAUAAUUGACCAUUGUAUCUUAAAUUAUACAUUUAUUAUUAUAAUAACAAUUAACAUUUCUCUUUGGUGGAUUAUUCAGAAAAAGAAAAAUCGAAUAAUAAAAUAAUUUCUUCGUUCCCCCCAGCAAUUUUAGAGUGUGAACUAU